rnacentral:rRNA from 1 species
GUGGGGAAUUUUGGACAAUGGGCGCAAGCCUGAUCCAGCAAUGCCGCGUGCAGGAAGAAGGCCUUCGGGUUGUAAACUGCUUUUGUACGGAACGAAAAGGCUCUGGUUAAUACCUGGGGCUCAUGACGGUACCGUAAGAAUAAGCACCGGCUAACUACGUGCCAGCAGCCGCGGUAAUACGUAGGGUGCAAGCGUUAAUCGGAAUUACUGGGCGUAAAGCGUGCGCAGGCGGUUUUGUAAGACAGAGGUGAAAUCCCCGGGCUCAACCUGGGAAUUGCCUUUGUGACUGGAAGGCUGGAGUGCGGCAGAGGGGGAUGGAAUUCCGCGUGUAGCAGUGAAAUGCGUAGAUAUGCGGAGGAACACCGAUGGCGAAGGCAAUCCCCUGGGCCUGCACUGACGCUCAUGCACGAAAGCGUGGGGAGCAAACAGGAUUAGAUACCCCGGUAGUCC